ACUCAUGCAGAUACCAUGAAAGGCGUUGGUUGCUUAAACAGCAGGACGGUGAUCAUGGAAGUCGAAAUCCGCUAAGGAGUGUGUAACAACUCACCUGCCGAAGCAACUAGCCCUUAAAAUGGAUGGCGCUUAAGUUGUAUACCUAUACAUUACCGCUUAAGUAGAUGAUUUAUAUUACUUGUGAUAUAAAUUUUGAAACUUUAGUGAGUAGGAAGGUACAAUGGUAUGCGUAGAAGUGUUUGGCGUAAGCCUGCAUGGAGCUGCCAUUGGUACAGAUCUUGGUGGUAGUAGCAAAUAAUCGAAUGAGACCUUGGAGGACUGAAGUGGAGAAGGGUUUCGUGUGAACAGUGGUUGAUCACGAGUUAGUCGGUCCUAAGUUCAAGGCGAAAGCCGAAAAUUUUCAAGUAAAACAAAAAUGCCUAACUAUAUAAACAAAGCGAAUAUAAUACACUUGAAUAAUUUUGAACGAAAGGGAAUACGGUUCCAAUUCCGUAACCUGUUGAGUAUCCGUUUGUUAUUAAAUAUGGGCCUCGUGCUCAUCCUGGCAACAGGAACGACCAUAAAGAAGCCGUCGAGAGAUAUCGGAAGAGUUUUCUUUUCUGUUUUAUAGCCGUACUACCAUGGAAGUCUUUCGCAGAGAGAUAUGGUAGAUGGGCUAGAAGAGCAUGACAUAUACUGUUGUGUCGAUAUUUUCUCCUCGGACCUUGAAAAUUUAUGGGUGGGGACACGCAAACUUCUCAACAGGCCGUACCAAAUAUCCGCAGCUGGGUCUCCAAGGUGAAGAGUCUCUAGUCGAUAGAAUAAUGUAGGUAAGGGAAGUCGGCAAAUUAGAUCCGUAACUUCGGGAUAAGGAUUGGCUCUGAAGAUUGAGAUAGUCCGGCUUGAUUGGGAAACAAUAACAUGGUUUAUGUGCUCGUUCUGGGUAAAUAGAGUUUCUAGCAUUUAUGUUAGUUACUUGUUCCCCGGAUAGUUUAGUUACGUAGCCAAUUGUGGAACUUUCUUGCUAAAAUUUUUAAGAAUACUAUUUGGGUUAAACCAAUUAGUUCUUAUCAAUUAUAACGAUUAUCAAUUAACAAUCAAUUCAGAACUGGCACGGACUUGGGGAAUCCGACUGUCUAAUUAAAACAAAGCAUUGUGAUGGCCCUAGCGGGUGUUGACACAAUGUGAUUUCUGCCCAGUGCUCUGAAUGUCAAAGUGAAGAAAUUCAAGUAAGCGCGGGUCAACGGCGGGAGUAACUAUGACUCUCUUAAGGUAGCCAAAUGCCUCGUCAUCUAAUUAGUGACGCGCAUGAAUGGAUUAACGAGAUUCCUACUGUCCCUAUCUACUAUCUAGCGAAACCACAGCCAAGGGAACGGGGCUUGGAAUAAUUAGCGGGGAAAGAAGACCCUUUUGAGCUUGACUCUAAUCUGGCAGUGUAAGGAGACAUAAGAGGUGUAGAAUAAGUGGGAGAUAUUAGACCUCGGUUUGGUAUCGUCAAUGAAAUACCACUACUCUUAUUGUUUCCUUUACUUACUUGAUUAAAUGGAACGUGUAUCAUUUCCUAGCCAUUAUACGGAUAUAUUUAUUAUAUCUUAUGGUAUUGGGUUUUGAUGCAAGCUUCUUGAUCAAAGUAUCACGAGUUUGUUAUAUAAUCGCAAACAAAUUCUUUAAUAAAACGAUGCAUUUAUGUAUUUUUGAUUUGAAAAUUUGGUAUAACUCCAAUUACUCAGGUAUGAUCCAAUUCAAGGACAUUGCCAGGUAGGGAGUUUGACUGGGGCGGUACAUCUCUCAAAUAAUAACGGAGGUGUCCCAAGGCCAGCUCAGUGCGGACAGAAACCACACAUAGAGCAAAAGGGCAAAUGCUGACUUGAUCUCGGUGUUCAGUACACACAGGGACAGCAAAAGCUCGGCCUAUCGAUCCUUUUGGUUUAAAGAGUUUUUAACAAGAGGUGUCAGAAAAGUUACCAUAGGGAUAACUGGCUUGUGGCGGCCAAGCGUUCAUAGCGACGUCGCUUUUUGAUCCUUCGAUGUCGGCUCUUCCUAUCAUUGUGAAGCAAAAUUCACCAAGCGUUGGAUUGUUCACCCAUGCAAGGGAACGUGAGCUGGGUUUAGACCGUCGUGAGACAGGUUAGUUUUACCCUACUAAUGACAAAACGUUGUUGCGACAGCAUCCUGCGUAGUACGA
rnacentral:rRNA from 1 species